UACGUAGGGUGCAAGCGUUAAUCGGAAUUAUUGGGCGUAAAGCGAGUGCAGACGGUUACUUAAGCCAGAUGUGAAAUCCCCAAGCUUAACUUGGGACGUGCAUUUGGAACUGGGUGACUAGAGUGUGUCAGAGGGAGGUAGAAUUCCACAUGUAGCGGUGGAAUGCGUAGAGAUGUGGAGGAAUACCGAUGGCGAAGGCAGCCUCCUGGGAUAACACUGACGUUGAGGCUCGAAAGCGUGGGGAGCAAAC
rnacentral:rRNA from 2 species